rnacentral:rRNA from 1 species
GAAUCAAAGGGAGCUUGCUCCCGGAGAUUAGCGGCGGACGGGUGAGUAACACGUGGGCAACCUGCCUGUAAGACUGGGAUAACUUCGGGAAACCGGAGCUAAUACCGGAUAGUUUCUUCCCUCUCAUGAGGGAAGAUGGAAAGACGGUCUCGGCUGUCACUUACAGAUGGGCCCGCGGCGCAUUAGCUAGUUGGUGAGGUAACGGCUCACCAAGGCGACGAUGCGUAGCCGACCUGAGAGGGUGAUCGGCCACACUGGGACUGAGACACGGCCCAGACUCCUACGGGAGGCAGCAGUAGGGAAUCUUCCGCAAUGGACGAAAGUCUGACGGAGCAACGCCGCGUGAGCGAUGAAGGCCUUCGGGUCGUAAAGCUCUGUUGUCAGGGAAGAACAAGUGCCAGAGUAACUGCUGGCGCCUUGACGGUACCUGACCAGAAAGCCACGGCUAACUACGUGCCAGCAGCCGCGGUAAUACGUAGGUGGCAAGCGUUGUCCGGAAUUAUUGGGCGUAAAGCGCGCGCAGGCGGUCCUUUAAGUCUGAUGUGAAAGCCCACGGCUCAACCGUGGAAGGUCAUUGGAAACUGGGGGACUUGAGUGCAGAAGAGGAGAGUGGAAUUCCACGUGUAGCGGUGAAAUGCGUAGAGAUGUGGAGGAACACCAGUGGCGAAGGCGACUCUCUGGUCUGUAACUGACGCUGAGGCGCGAAAGCGUGGGGAGCGAACAGGAUUAGAUACCCUGGUAGUCCACGCCGUAAACGAUGAGUGCUAAGUGUUAGAGGGUUUCCGCCCUUUAGUGCUGCAG